rnacentral:piRNA from 1 species
UAAGUAUUCACAAGGGAAGCU